rnacentral:tRNA from 1 species
GCCCCCGUAGCUCAGCUGGAUAGAGCAACGGAUUUCUAAUCCGUUGGUCGGGCGUUCGAAUCGCCCCGGGGGUG